AUUGAACGCUGGCGGCAUGCCUUACACAUGCAAGCCGAACGGUAACAGGUCUUCGGAUGCUGACGAGUGGCGAACGGGUGAGUAAUACAUCGGAACGUGCCUAGUAGUGGGGGAUAACUACUCGAAAGAGUGGCUAAUACCGCAUAAGACCUACGAAGGAAAGCAGGGGAACGCAAGACCUGUCGCUAUUAGAGCGGCCGAUGGCAGAUUAGGUAGUUGGUGGGAUAAAAGCUUACCAAGCCGACGAUCUGAAGCUGGUCUGAGAGGACGAUCAGCCACACUGGGACUGAGAAACGGCCCAGACUCCUACGGGAGGCAGCAGUGGGGAAUUUUGGACAAUGGGCGCAAGCCUGAUCCAGCAAUGCCGCGUGCAGGAUGAAGGCCUUCGGGUUGUAAACUGCUUUUGUACGGAACGAAAAGCCCCGGGUUAAUACCCUGGGGUCAUGACGGUACCGUAAGAAUAAGCACCGGCUAACUACGUGCCAGCCGCCGCGGUAA
rnacentral:rRNA from 1 species